UACGUAGGGUGCGAGCGUUAAUCGGAAUUACUGGGCGUAAAGCGUGCGCAGGCGGUUUUGUAAGCCAGAUGUGAAAUCCCCGGGCCUAACCUGGGAAUGGCAUUUGGGACUGCAAGGCUUGAGUGCGGCAGAGGAGACUGGAAUUCCUGGUGUAGCAGUGAAAUGCGUAGAUAUCAGGAGGAAUACCGAUGGCGAAGGCAGGUCUCUGGGCUGACACUGACGCUCAUGCACGAAAGCGUGGGGAGCAAACAGG
rnacentral:rRNA from 1 species